GUCCACGCCGUAACGAUGAAUACUAGGUGUUGGGAAGCAUUGCUUCUCGGUGCCGUCGCAAACGCAGUAAGUAUUCCACCUGGGAGUACGUUCGCAAGAAUGAAACUCAAAGGAAUUGACGGGACCCGCACAAGCGGUGGAGCAUGUGGUUUAAUUCGAAGCAACGCGAAGAACCUUACCAAGUCUUGACAUCCUUCUGACCGGUACUUAAUCGUACCUUCUCUUCGGAGCAGGAGUGACAGGUGGUGCAUGGUUGUCGU
rnacentral:rRNA from 1 species